GCCGGCGUAGCGCAAUGGUAGCGCGUCGCUUUCCUAUGUAUGAAAGCAAGGCGAAGGUUGCGAGUUCGAUCCUCGUCGUCGGUA
rnacentral:tRNA from 1 species